rnacentral:rRNA from 1 species
GACAGAGGUGCCGAGCGUUAGGCGGAAUCACUGGGCUUAAAGCGUGUGUAGGCGGAUCUGUAAGUACCUUGUGAAAUCCCACGGCUCAACCGUGGAACUGCUUGGUAUACUGCGGGUCUUGAGCCACCUAGGGGCAAGUGGAACAAACGGUGGAGCGGUGAAAUGCGUAGAUAUCAUUUGGAACGCCAAUGGUGAAAACAGGUAGCUGGGAGUGUGCUGACGCUGAGACACGAAAGCCAGGGGAGCGAACGGG